UAAUGUCUGGGAAACUGCCUGAUGGAGGGGGAUAACUACUGGAAACGGUAGCUAAUACCGCAUAACGUCUACGGACCAAAGUGGGGGACCUUCGGGCCUCAUGCCAUCAGAUGUGCCCAGAUGGGAUUAGCUAGUAGGUGGGGUAACGGCUCACCUAGGCGACGAUCCCUAGCUGGUCUGAGAGGAUGACCAGCCACACUGGAACUGAGACACGGUCCAGACUCCUACGGGAGGCAGCAGUGGGGAAUAUUGCACAAUGGGCGCAAGCCUGAUGCAGCCAUGCCGCGUGUAUGAAGAAGGCCUUCGGGUUGUAAAGUACUUUCAGCGGGGAGGAAGGCGUUGUGGUUAAUAACCACAGCGAUUGACGUUACCCGCAGAAGAAGCACCGGCUAACUCCGUGCCAGCAGCC
rnacentral:rRNA from 1 species